CCUUGUUUGAAGAUGGAGAGUCACCAUAUUCCAUGCCAACUGUCAGCAAGUCCCAUUCUCAAAAGCUUGAGUUGACCAAAACCAGAUAGGUACAAAGACACCAAUACCAGUGAAGCGUAUAAAGCAGAUAUUGAAGACAUAUGGUAGCUUCCUCCAACUUCCUUCUCACAGCAAGCACAUAAGCAGGUUUUAAGCAAGAUGGACAGCCACAUCUGAGGAGAGUGGACUUUGUGACACCUGAAAGAGGCCCCAGGGCCUUAAAGCUACCAGCAAGGACAAGGAAAUGCUCGUGUCUGCCAAAAACCUGCUAGUGCCCCUCAUGGCUUCUCUGUGGUUCUGCAUGAAGCAAGACCUGCAUUUGCAGGUCCUCCUCCUCUUGUUCCAG